rnacentral:lncRNA from 1 species
GGCAGGGCUGUAGUAUUGUAAUACUGUAUCUGGUCUGUAAUAGAGACGGCAGGGCUGUAGUAUUGUAAUAGUGUAUCUGGUUUGUUGUAGAGGCGGGCAGGGCUGUAGUUUACAGCUGUAGUAUUGUUGUACUGUAUCUGGUCUGUAGUAGAGCCGGUCCGGGCAGGGCUGUAGUAUUGUAAUACUGUAUCUGGUCUGUAAUAGAGACGGGCAGGGCUGUAGUAUUGUAAUAUUAUAUCUGGUCUGUAGUAGAGACGGGCAGGGCUGUAGUAUUGUAGUACUGUAUCUGAUCUGUAAUAGAGAUGGGCUGUGUUGUAGUAUACAGCUGUGGUACUGUAGUACUGUAUCUAGUCUGUAGUAGAGCUGGGCAGGGCUGUAGUACUGUAAUACUGUAUCUGGUCUGUAGUAGAGAUGAGCUGGGCUGUACUAUUGUAAUACUGUAUCUGGUCUGUAGUAGAGAUGGGCUGGGCUGUAGUAUACAGCUGUAGUAUUGUAGUACUGUAUCUAGUCUGUAGUAGAGACGAGCUGGGCUGUAGUAUUGUUGUACUGUAUCUGGUCUGUAGCAGAGAUGGGCAGGGCUGUAGUAUUGUUGUACUGUAUCUGGUCUGUAGAGAGACGACCUGGACUGUAGUAUUGUAGUACUGUAUCUGGUCUGUAGUAGAGAUGGGCAGGGCUGUAAUAUUGUAAUACUGUAUCUGGUCUGUAAUAGAGAUGGGCUGGGCUGUAGUACUGUAAUACUGUAUCUGGUCUGUAGUAGAGGUGGGCUGGGCUGUAGUAUUGUAGUACUGUAUCUGGUCUGUAGUAGAGACGGGAAGGGAUGUAGUAUAAAGCUGUAGUACUGUAGUACUGUAUCUAGUGUGUAGUAAAGCUGGGCAGGGCUGUAGUAUUGUAAUACUGUAUCUGGUCUGUUGUAGAGAUGGGCUGGGCUGUAGUAUACAGCUGUAGUAUUGUAAUACUGUGUCUGGUCUGUAAUAGAGAUGUGCUUGGCUGUAGUAUUGUAAUACUGAAUCUGGUCUGUAGUAGAGAUGAGCAGGGCUGUAGUAUACAGCUGUAGUAUUGUAGUACUGUAUCUGGUCUGUAAUAGAGACGGGCAGGGCUGUAGUAUUGUAAUACUGUAUCUGGUCUGUAGUAGAGCCGGGCAGGGCUGUAGUGUUGUAGUACUGUAUCUGGUCUGUAGUAGAGCCCCUCUCAGGGCUGUAGUACUGUAGUACUGUAUCGGGUCUGUAGUAGAGCCGGGCAGGGCUGUAGUUUUGUGGUACUGUAUCUGGUCUGUAAUAGAGACGGGCAGGGCUGUAGUAUUGUAAUACUGUAUCUUGUCUGUAAUAGAGACGGGCAGGGCUGUAGUAUACAGCUGUAGUUUUGUAGUACUGUAUCUGGUCUGUAGUAUAGACGUGCAGGGCUGUAGUAUUGUAAUACUGUAUCUGGGCUGUAGUUUUGUGGUACUGUAUCUGGUCUGUAAUAGAGACGGGCAGGGAUGUAGUAUUGUAAUACUGUAUCUUGUCUGUAAUAGAGACGGGCAGGGCUGUAGUAUACAGCUGUAGUUUUGUAGUACUGUAUCUGG